rnacentral:rRNA from 1 species
CCUACGGGAGGCUGCAGUGAGGAAUAUUGGUCAAUGGGCGAGAGCCUGAACCAGCCAAGUAGCAUGAAGGAUGACUGCCCUACGGGUUGUAAACUUCUUUUAUAUGGGAAUAAAAUGAGCCACGUGUGCGUUUUUGUAUGUACUAUAUGAAUAAGGAUCGGCUAACUCCGUGCCAGCAGCCGCGGUAAUACGGAGGAUCCGAGCGUUAUCCGGAUUUAUUGGGUUUAAAGGGAGCGUAGGUGGGUUGUUAAGUCAGUUGUGAAAGUUUGCGGCUCAACCGUAAAAUUGCAGUUGAAACUGGCAGUCUUGAGUACAGUAGAGGUGGGCGGAAUUCGUGGUGUAGCGGUGAAAUGCUUAGAUAUCACGAAGAACUCCGAUUGCGAAGGCAGUUCACUAGACUGCCACUGACACUGAGGCUCGAAAGUGUGGGUAUCAAACAGGAUUAGAUACCCGAGUAGUC